UACGUAGGGUGCAGGCGUUAAUCGGAAUUACUGGGCGUAAAGCGUGCGCAGGCGGUUUGCUAAGACAGGUGUGAAAUCCCCGGGCUUAACCUGGGAACUGCGCUUGUUACUGGCAAGCUAGAGUGUGGCAGAGGGGGGUGGAAUUCCAGGUGUAGCAGUGAAAUGCGUAGAUAUCUGGAGGAACACCGAUGGCGAAGGCGACUUCCUGGCCUGUUCUUGACGCUGAGGCGCGAAAGCUAGGGUAGCAAACGGG
rnacentral:rRNA from 1 species